rnacentral:rRNA from 1 species
GAUGAACGCUGGCGGUAUGCUUAGCACAUGCAAGUCGAACGGACUCUUCGGAGUUAGUGGCGGACGGGUGGUUAACGCGUGAGAAUCUGGCCUUGGGUUCGGGACACCCACUGGAAACGGUGGCUAAUACCGGAUGUGCCGAGAGGUAAAAGAGAAAUUGCCUGAAGAUGAGCUCGCGUCUGAUUAGCUAGGUGGUGAGGUAAAGGCUCACCAAGGCAGCGAUUAGUAGCUGGUCUGAGAGGAUGACCAGCCACACUGGGACUGAGACACGGCCCAGACUCCUACGGGGGGCAGCAGUGGAAAAUUGUCCGCAAUGGGCGAGAGCCUGACGGAGCAGUACCGCGUGAGAGAAGAAGGCUCGUGGGUUGUAAACCUCUUUUCUUAGGGAAGGACAAAAUGACGGUACCUAAGGAAUCAGCAUCGGCUAACUCCGUG